CAUUCAUCUUGAAACAUAUUGUCAAGUGUUCGAUGAGUAUUUGGAGGGAAUGUAUGGUUAUGAUACAAUCAAGAAAAUGUUGACAAAUAUUGAUUUUUUUUUUUCUAUCAUGAUCGACUUUUUCCAAUAUAUCAUAUUCAAAAUUUGACCGAGUAUAAAUUUAUAUGUUAUAUGUAUGCAUAGAUUUCAUUAACGGAUAGAUACACUCGUAUCACAUUCGAACACAUCCGAAUUUCAAUAUUUCUGGUUACUCGAUUGCUACGCGUCGAAUCCCAAUUAAUUUUGCUUCAGAAAAUGGAAACACUAUUCGAAUUUUCCAGAUCAGUAUUUUUUUUAAACGAACCUUUGUUAAUUACAUACAAAAAUAAGUUUUCGUUUUAUUUCACACAAAAAUUAAAAUUAUAUACGAACUAAAUCGGCCAAUGGCAUUUGACUGAAGUUGUUUCAGGAAACAAAAGCGAUAUAUCGAUAUAUCGAUUAAGUUGUUCGUCUUGUUUAGACCAUAUUUCAUUUUAUCCUAUUGGGUGACAUUAAAAUUUUUACUUUUUAAUUGGAACACAUCAUCGAGUCAUAAAAAGUUUGCCAUGAAAUAACGAAUAUCAAAAGAACAAAAUUAUAUUUAAUAAUUAAUUUUUGACAAUGGAAAAAAUUAUUUGAUUGUUUAACUAUCACUAAUGUGGUUUCUCAAGAUCUUUGCACUUCUUUUUUCAAGGCACUACUUCUUACCGAGACAAUUGCUUGGAAGACAGCCGGUAGCAAGUGUCGCUUCUCUGGCCGCACAAAGGCUCGAAUAACUCCGAACAAAGAGUGAUAAAAAACAAUUCAGUUCAAUAUGAGUUUAGAAUUAUUAGAAUUGAUAUAUUAGGAAUAUAUCAUAAUAGGAUUAAACAGAGGGCGGCACAUAUUUGUGUCACGGUCGUUAAGUGAACCCGUUUAUGUCAAACGAUGUAAGUCUCGUACGUAUAUCGGUCGUAAACGCGUCCGCUUAUUAAACUUCUGUAUUAUGGUAUACAUACAAGUCGUAAUGAAUUUCAACGAUUGACAAAAAGACUGGAGAAUCUUUGAUAUCCGACUUAUGUGAAAAUUGAAGAUUUGUAUUCUAACAAUUUUCAUGGCUUAUAUUAAACAUAACCUUUAAAAAUGAUCGAAAUUAAUAGUUCCGAAUUUUUUCGAUUUUCAAUAUUCAAAGGUUAAUAGAUCAUGAUAUUCUCUUAUCUCAAAGGACUGCAACGAUGCUGUUGUAGUCUCGUAAAAACUACCCAAGGGAAAGAGAGCUAGCAAUCACCGAGAGCAUCGUUCGAAUCCCACUUGGGACUGGUAACAAUCAAGCAGCAAUUCCGUUGA